rnacentral:rRNA from 1 species
UGGCUCAGGAUGAACGCUAGCUACAGGCUUAACACAUGCAAGUCGAGGGGCAGCAUGGUCUUAGCUUGCUAAGGCCGAUGGCGACCGGCGCACGGGUGAGUAACACGUAUCCAACCUGCCGUCUACUCUUGGACAGCCUUCUGAAAGGAAGAUUAAUACAAGAUGGCAUCAUGAGUUCACAUGUUCACAUGAUUAAAGGUAUUCCGGUAGACGAUGGGGAUGCGUUCCAUUAGAUAGUAGGCGGGGUAACGGCCCACCUAGUCUUCGAUGGAUAGGGGUUCUGAGAGGAAGGUCCCCCACAUUGGAACUGAGACACGGUCCAAACUCCUACGGGAGGCAGCAGUGAGGAAUAUUGGUCAAUGGGCGAGAGCCUGAACCAGCCAAGUAGCGUGAAGGAUGACUGCCCUAUGGGUUGUAAACUUCUUUUAUAAAGGAAUAAAGUCGGGUAUGCAUACCCGUUUGCAUGUACUUUAUGAAUAAGGAUCGGCUAACUCCGUGCCAGCAGCCGCGGUAAUACGGAGGAUCCGAGCGUUAUCCGGAUUUAUUGGGUUUAAAGGGAGCGUAGAUGGAUGUUUAAGUCAGUUGUGAAAGUUUGCGGCUCAACCGUAAAAUUGCAGUUGAUACUGGAUAUCUUGAGUGCAGUUGAGGCAGGCGGAAUUCGUGGUGUAGCGGUGAAAUGCUUAGAUAUCACGAAGAACUCCGAUUGCGAAGGCAGCCUGCUAAGCUGCAACUGACAUUGAGGCUCGAAAGUGUGGGUAUCAAACAGGAUUAGAUACCCUGGUAGUCCACACGGUAAACGAUGAAUACUCGCUGUUUGCGAUAUACAGCAAGCGGCCAAGCGAAAGCGUUAAGUAUUCCACCUGGGGAGUACGCCGGCAACGGUGAAACUCAAAGGAAUUGACGGGGGCCCGCACAAGCGGAGGAACAUGUGGUUUAAUUCGAUGAUACGCGAGGAACCUUACCCGGGCUUAAAUUGCAGAUGAAUUACGGUGAAAGCCGUAAGCCGCAAGGCAUCUGUGAAGGUGCUGCAUGGUUGUCGUCAGCUCGUGCCGUGAGGUGUCGGCUUAAGUGCCAUAACGAGCGCAACCCUUGUUGUCAGUUACUAACAGGUUCUGCUGAGGACUCUGACAAGACUGCCAUCGUAAGAUGUGAGGAAGGUGGGGAUGACGUCAAAUCAGCACGGCCCUUACGUCCGGGGCUACACACGUGUUACAAUGGGGGGUACAGAGGGCCGCUACCACGCGAGUGGAUGCCAAUCCCCAAAACCUCUCUCAG